rnacentral:lncRNA from 1 species
ACGCUGCUGCUGGGGCAGAUCCGGAUGGCAGUGCUGAGCCUCUUCCAGCUCACCUCCAUGAGGCUGGAGGUCCCCAAGGAUGUGGCCCUGGAGGACACAGAGGCACAGCUGGAUCUGCUGCUCUGCAUGCAGGACCUGGCUGCCAUCUGUGCCGAGCUGGGGCUGUGUUCUCCUGUGCCUGCUACCACUGCCACACACCCACGGCGUCACAGAGCUGUCACUGUGCCUCCCAACCAGGAAUAGAUGGACUUAGGAUACAGUGGAGCACGAAAGUCACUCAACAUGUCCAGG